rnacentral:rRNA from 1 species
AACGUCCCAGUUCGGAUUGUAGUCUGCAACUCGACUACAUGAAGCUGGAAUCGCUAGUAAUCGCGAAUCAGAAUGUCGCGGUGAAUACGUUCCCGGGUCUUGUACACACCGCCCGUCACACCAUGGGAGUUGGGAAUGCCCGAAGCCGGUGACCUAACCGAAAGGGAGGAGCCGUCGAAGGCAGGCUUGAUAACUGGGGUGAAGUCGUAACAAGGUAUC